UGUAAUUCUAGUCAAGUAGUCAAGCCGCGCAUCCAAGCUUUAUCCAAAUUGCAAACUUUGUAAAUGUUUGCGGAGUAAAUAUUUUCGUUUUGAGUAUAGAAACUGAGUUUAAGGUAACCAGUUUGUUGAGUCAUGCAAUGCACGUGAGCUGGUAUCUUUCAUUAACAUUGUUCAAUUGCAAUUGGAUACCGCUGGCACUCGCUGACUUUAAAAUGUUCAACCAACCCGCAACCAGAAAAUAGAGGUGAAUUGAUCUGAAAAAGAAUGCCGUCCAGGAUGCAUCAUUCUCAAAAUAUGGUUGCUAAAAUAUGGACUUAUGAUCUACGGCAGUGAAUGUGAUGAAGAGUAGUGGAAAUGUUUUAAUCUCGAGAUGAACUACAUCCUGACGUCAUGGGAUAAUAAUUCAACAGUUCUGUUCGCCCUCUCCGAUCCCUUUGGCUAGGUGAGUUAGUUUAAUCUGAGUACAGAGUAUUAAAUUGUGGGCUCUAUUAAUAAUAAUAAUUCUAUACAGUUUCAUAAUUGAAACAAUUAUGGCCCCUUAUUGUGGGCAGAGUAUGUGUCUUUGUUGAUAUGUCCUGGUAUAAACUUAUCUGAGUGACUGCAUUAAAAUAAUUUUUUGUAAUUGCAAUUGUACUAGACAUUUGAUGAUAUUUGUUGUAGCUAUCUCCUUUGAUAAGUGAUAAUAACAAUCUUUCAUUCAUCGAAUAAUUUUUGCAGUGAAGACAGGGUAACUACUCGAUCAUUAUUUUUGUCCAGGUGAAUUGAUCUGAAAAAGAAUGCCGUCCAGGAUGCAUCAUUCUCAAAUAUGGUUGCUAAAAUAUGGACUUAUGAUCUACGGCAGUGGUAAGGGCUCCUAAUUUGCUCAUGAAACAUGACCCGUUCAAAUCAAAACAGAAGUCUGCUGUGUAAUUAUACUAUAUAUCAACGAAUAAUAUUUUUCAGAAUGUGAUGAAGAGUAGUGGAAAUGUUUUAAUAUCAAGAUGAACUACAUUCUGACGUCAUGGGAUAAUAAUUCAACAGUUCUGUUCGCCCUCUCCGAUCCAUUUGGCUAG